GAUUAACGCUGGCGGCGUGCCUAAUACAUGCAAGUCGAGCGAACGGACGAGAAGCUUGCUUCUCUGAUGUUAGCGGCGGACGGGUGAGUAACACGUGGAUAACCUACCUAUAAGACUGGGAUAACUUCGGGAAACCGGAGCUAAUACCGGAUAAUAUUUUGAACCGCAUGGUUCAAAAGUGAAAGACGGUCUUGCUGUCACUUAUAGAUGGAUCCGCGCUGCAUUAGCUAGUUGGUAAGGUAACGGCUUACCAAGGCAACGAUGCAUAGCCGACCUGAGAGGGUGAUCGGCCACACUGGAACUGAGACACGGUCCAGACUCCUACGGGAGGCAGCAGUAGGGAAUCUGCCGCAAUGGGCGAAAGCCUGACGGAGCAACGCCGCGUGAGUGAUGAAGGUCUUCGGAUCGUAAAACUCUGUUAUUAGGGAAGAACAUAUGUGUAAGUAACUGUGCACAUCUUGACGGUACCUAAUCAGAAAGCCACGGCUAACUACGUG
rnacentral:rRNA from 1 species